rnacentral:rRNA from 1 species
CCUGGCGGCGAUAGCGCGGUGGUCCCACCUGACCCCAUGCCGAACUCAGAAGUGAAACGCCGUAGCGCCGAUGGUAGUGUGGGGUCUCCCCAUGUGAGAGUAGGGAAUCGCCAGGC